rnacentral:rRNA from 1 species
UAAUAGCGUAUAUUAAUGUUGUUGCAGUUAAAAGCUCGUAGUUGGAUUUUGGAGUUUGACAGACGGUCCGCCUAUUCGGUGAGCACUGUCUGUUGGCUCUUCUUUUCUGGGAACCUCACUGCUCUUUAUUGAGGGUGCUGGAACGCAGAUCUUUACUUUGAAAAAUUAGAGUGUUCAAAGCAGGCCAACGCAUUGAAUACAUUAGCAUGGAAUAAUGGAAUAGGACUUUGGUCUUAUUUUGUUGGUUUCUAAGGCCGAGGUAAUGAUUAAUAGGGAUAGUUGGGGGCGUUUAUAUUCCGUUGUCAGAGGUGAAAUUCUUGGAUUUACGGAAGAUAAAACUACUGCGAAAAGCAUUCGCCAAGGAUGUUUUCAUUAAUCAAGAACGAAAGUUAGGGGAUCGAAGAUGAUUAGAUACCAU